rnacentral:rRNA from 1 species
AUACGGGUUUAGGAGCAGGUCGUCCUAGGUUCGUAAUAAUACGGGUUUAGAAGCAGGUCGUCCUAGGUUCGUAUCAGAACCUGCCUUUGGGAGGGGAACAACAGCUGGAAACGACUAUUAAUACCCCCAUAGGCUGAGGAGCAAAAGGAGAAAUCUGCCCAAGGAGGGGCUCGCGUCUAAUUAGCUAGUUGGUGAGGCAAUAGCUUACCAAGGUGAUGAUCAGUAGCCAGUCCGAGGGGAUGAUCAGCCACAUUGGGACUGAGACACGGCCCAGACUCCUAUGGGAGGCAGCAGUGGGGAAUUUUCUGCAAUGGGCGAAAUAUCUGUAUGAUUGAGCAAUGCCGGAUGGAGGCAGAAGGCUUAUGAGUUGCGAACUUCAUUUCCUAGAGAAGAAACAACGAUGGUAUAUGGGGAAUAAGCAUUAUUUGGAAUGAUUGGGCAUAAAGCGUUUGUAGGUGGCUUUUUUAAGUCCACCGUCAAAUCUCAGGGCUCAACCCUAGAUGGUGGUGGAAACUACCAAGCUGGAGUACGGUAGGGCCAAAGAGAAUUUUUGAUGGAGCGGUGAAAUGUGUAGAGAUCGAAAAGAACAAGAAUAAAUCCAAAAAUCUAUAUUAAGUACAACAGACAAAAAGCUAAAAAAAAAAUAGAAAAAGAAUAUAAGUGGAGAUGGAUAGAGACAAACGAACAACGGAGAAAUCUCUCUACUCGGCUGACACUGACACUGAGAGACGAAAGCUAGGGGAGCGAAUGGGAUUUGAUACCCCAGUAGUCCUCGCCGUAAGCGAUGGAUACUAGGCACUGUGCAUAUCGACCCAUGCAGUGUUGUAGUUAAUGCGUUAAGUAUCCUGCCUAAGGAGUAUGUUCACAAGAAUGAAACUCAAAGGAAUUGAUGGGGGCUCUCAUAAGCAAUGAAGCAUUUGGUUUAAUUCGAUCCACUGCGAACAACCUUACCAGGCUUGACAUGCCACGGAUCCUUUUGAAAGACAGGGGUGCCUUUGGGAACAUGGACAUAGGUGGUCCAUGGCCAUCGUUAGCUCAUACCGUAAGGCGUUUAGUUGCCCCCGUUGAGUUUGGAACCCUGAGCAGACUGCCGACGAAAAGUCAGAGGAAGGUGAGGAUGACAUCAAGUCAUCAUGCCCCUUAUACCCUGGGUGAUACACAUGCUACAAUGGCUGGGACAAAGGGUCGUGAUCCCGAGAGGGUGAGCCAACUCUAAAAAUGCAUCCUCAGUUUGGACUGUAGGCUACAACUCACCUACAUGAAGUAGAAAUCGCUAGUAAUUGCCAGUCAGCCAUACAGCGGUGAAUUUGUUCUUGGGCUUUGUACACACUGCCCAUCACACUAUGGGUGUUGGCCAUGCCCAAAGUUGCCACCUUAACCGUAAGAAGGGGGAUGUCAAAGGCAGGGCUAGUGACUGGAGUGAAGUCUUAACAAGGUAACCAUACUGGAAGGUGCGGCUG